GGCACCGGCACCGGCACCGGCACCGGCACCGGCACCGGCUGGGGCCCGCGGGUCACGGGCGGGGAGCGUGAGCGGGACCUUGUGUGGUUGGUUAAACGGGGGCUUAUGAUCCGCCCUCCCUAUGGAGGCGGCUGAAUACAAGCUUUGGAACAGAAUUAAACAAUUUGUACAGCUCUGCUUACCGAUGCCCCAAUAGCUAGCAGGAAGCGGGCUUUGGUUUCUUAUUUUGAUGAGAAAUGUAAGAUCUCCUUGUCUUCUGCUGGGGAAAUGUUACAUGCUUGUGAUAAGAGCGGCAUGCUGUAUAGUUUAUGCAUGGAAAAGAAAGUCUGAAUACUCUUUGUUAUUUUUUCUGUUCAUAACUUGUGUUUCAGUGUUUUAGGUGGCUGAGAUCAGUCUAUCAAGUUGGCAGAUUUCUCUUCAAUGGUACUGCGUUGGAGCAGAGGGAACAGAACACGCACUUAAAAGGGAUCUGGAUAUCUAGUGAUCCAAAUCAUCUGGGAAAAAGAGGUGCAUAGUUUUGGAAUGAGCUCCCACUGCUAAUGGGAAAGGUUAAAAUAUUGCAAGUGGUUCUUUUAUUAUCUUCCAGGUUUGUAGCUACAUACCCUGAUACUCCUUGAACAGCUUCAAAGCUGGAAGAGUUGUGUCUUUCUCCCAUACAUGAAUUCUGACAGAGACAAGUUUUGAACAAUACUGCAUUCAUUCACGUCAGGAUAGAAUGACAUGGAAUCUCUCUCCAAAUUCAUUUUUACAACUGUGUUUAAAAAUAUUGCAUUUUUUAAAGAAAGUUAAUAUAUAGCAGUGUGAGUAAGAAGCUGAAUUUUAGUACCUGGAGUCUAUCGUAGAGUGAGAUUACCGAAAAUCUCUAUUGAACAGCAAGGGCCCAUACGCACUAAUAAAUAAUCAGUGUUACACAUAGGGAUAUAUUUGACUUGUGUCUGUUAUUUUUAAAGAAGAUUCUUGAUGUGUGUUCAAUGAGGUUGUUCUUCCCAAAGCAAACCUUCCUGGAAGAAUGGGAAAUUGCACUAGGUAGUGUAUGAGUAGCUCAUUUUUUGUUCGCUGUAUGAUGUUUUUAUUCAAACUCAGCUAAUUUUAUUUAAAGUACCUUCUGUUCAUUUUCUUGAAAGCUGUAUCCCCAGACUCAUUAAGAAGAGUUUAAUGAGGUAGAAAUCCAGUUAAAAUGAGAGGGUUUUCCUAGUGUAUUUGCGAUAUAAAUUGAUUGUUAAGGAAAAUGGAUUUUGCUUCAGUCUGAGCGAAUUAUAAUGAGCAGAUUAUAGAGGGCUAUUAGUAUAUAAGGAUAUUGAUUGUUAUUUGGUGCUGUGCCAUUAUAUACACCAGGGUAUGAUGGAGAACAUUUAUUCAUGUGCAAGUUUCAAUACAAAUGCCUGUGAAACAUUGCAGAGAAAAAAAGAGUAUGACAUCAUUGUUUAUGUAUGGAUUCUUGGUGGAAUUAUGUUGUAUUUUCCUUGGGAAGCCAAGUAAUUCUGUUGCACCUUGAAUUUCUUGAAUCUUACUGGCUUAUUGUUAGAUUAAGAGCCUCUCUUUUUAGGCCAAGGAAUGCUAGUAAAUUUGUUGGAUAAAUUUUAGGCAUGGAUUUGGAUUUGACUGUGGGUUUUAUAUUUAAAAAAACACAUCCUGACAUCUAAAGCAUAUAUCCAUGCAUAAAAUAUAUUGGUAUUUUUAUCAGGUACUAUAUAAAGACAUUUUUUUCUGCGUGUUUUGGAUUUGACAGUUGUCCCAGAAUAUUUCCUGUAUCCUCUCUGCUUGUUGUCACUAGAUCUGAAAGUAGAUAUUUUGAGAAUGGCACCCAGAAGACAUUUCUAGUUAUUUUCAGAUCAUUUCUCUUUCAGAGGGCAGAUGGCAGUCUCACAAAUUGCAGCGGAGGUGUGUUUUUUCCCUGCUCUUUGUGGGAGUGGUUAAGUUCAGGAAGUGUUUGGAUAACACUCUCAGGCACAUGGUGUGAUUCUUGUGUCCUGUGCAGGGCCAGGAGUUAGACUUGAAGAUCCUGAUGGGUCCCUUCCCACUCAGCAUAUAUUGUGAUUCUAUGCAUAUUUAGAACAAAUCCUCUUGUCAAGAAGUUGGUGGAUGCUGGAAGGAAACUCCAGCUUUGUGGGGACUCAGCUUUGCUCCUUGUCUUUCAGUACCAAAAUGAUCUCAAGUGGUUGAAUUCUUCCCUGUGGAUGGUUGUGGGGUUUUUUUUGGGUUUUUGUUGUUACUAUUAAGUUUGGUGUUGCAUACCAUUUGGCAGUAGCAGGAGUUGACUGCCCCUUUGAGGGGACAAGAUGUAUCUGGGAUGUUUUCCCUUUGUGGUGUCUGAAACAUGAUCAGUGGUGUUUCAUGGAGAUACCACAUCGACAGACUUGCCCCUAUCUGUCUUGAAGAGAAACUAUAUAAAGCUGCAGCAAUGCUUAUAUAGCAAAGAUAAAAAGUAGGUUGCUGCCAAGGGUUAUAUCUUGGUAGAACUACCUCCUUUGGGACAGAUGGAACUGAAUGGCUCCAGAGUGUCAAGGGAAGAAUUAAAUAACAUUUCAUUUUUUCCAUUGCCAAUUUUUGUACUCUUCCCUUGCACAACAUACCAAAAAAUUUCAAUCACUUAGAAUCAUUUAGUAAAGGAUCCUGGAUAGGAGCCACUAUUGGUGUGAAGGGUGAGACAGAAUGUGCCAGCUGUUAAAGAUUGCUGUUAAAAGACUCAUCAUCAGAGAAUAGCCUGAAAAGUAGAAUUUGCAACAAUAAAUUGCAAAUUUCCAUCACAAGGUAAAGAUAUUUCCACAAAAUAAUGUGUAAAAUGGGAUUCAUGUUGAAAUAAAGUACAAUUUUAAUUUGGCUAUGUGGAAACAAUAGGUCAAUCAUCAAAGAAACAAAAGAAGAUAUUCUGUAUCUUUAGUCCAAGGUGUUUAAACUGCCACAGAACAGAAUGUUAGUGUGAUUUGUUUCUGAAGUGAUGUUUAUGGUCAUACGUGUUGAAAUGAGUCAAGUCCUUCAUUUUCUGUUGGAGGGUGACCUCCUUUUCUUCUCUUUUUCUCCCAAUUUACUUAUUUUAUUUCUCUUUUUGAGCUACUUGCCUUAUCAAAAAUAGCACAAAUAGGUUCUCUGGCUCCUAUAUUUGGUGAUUAUUUUUUGUAGCCUAUUUCUCAGUCUAGUUCAAGACCAAAUUAAGCCUACUGCAGCUUGGAAAUGUUAGCUGAAAUGCUGAUUAGCUGGAAGAGACAAGGUGCUGCUCAACAGCAGUGUGGGUGCACAGAGGAUUAGCUGGUGGUGUCAGAAUAAUUUUACUUUUAAGACAUGUUAUGAUGACUGUAUUUAAUACUGACUUAUUCCUGGUACUGUCCAGAGGUCAGGAGCAUGUCUGCCUCCCAACCAUCAUCCUCCUUCCUCCAGAGGUAUUUAAAUAAGAAAAGCAAAGAGGGCAUGAAGAAUUUCCCUAGUACAAGUCAGACAGCAGAAAUGAGCAGUCCUGUCAAAGACCCCAAGUAUAGCACAAUGCCUAUGCAGAGCUACCAGAAACAGCUCUCCCAGAGAAGAGAUAGAGUGAAGACUAUCACCCACUUUGCCUUCCAAACUGCCCCCCAGAUCUGUUCAGCAUUUGAAAGAACCAUUGCAGACUUCUGGGGGAAGUUGAUAAAGGAAGAUGGUACUGUAGUUUUUAUCUUUGCACUUUGUACAGUAUCUCUGAGGAAGGUCAUGGCUUCUUCAGCUCCAGUUCUGCAGCAUCAGAAUUGGUCCACCUCUUUAGCUCUUCCAGCAGAGCCAAUUUAAUGUCCCCACAAAUGUCAGAAUUGUUUGCAGUGAAGGCUGGUGUUCCUGUUGUGGAAGUACAGUUCUGUGAUUUGAACAGUUGAUUUUCUCUGCUAGUUGUGUUUAAAGAAAGCAACAAAAAUUUAAUACACAAUUAAAAAUAGAUUAGUGUUUUGUUUAGUCCUCCAUACAAUUACAAAACAGACACUGAAAUGUGUUAUAGCAAUCAAAAGUUAAUUAAACUUCUGAAAAAAAUAACAGAUUCAAUGUGAAAGCUGUGUCAGAUACAAUUACUGGUUUUUAUUGUGACAAGCAGAAAUUUGCAUCUAUUAGGGGAAAAACGUAGCCAGAUAAAAGACACACAAUCUGCUUGCUUACUGUGAUUUUCUAAAGCUAGUAAGAACAGUGUUAGUCAGUUUCUUUCUCAUUGGGCCUGUGACAUUUAGCUACUCUGUUUUUUCCUGCUUGGGUGUCUCCUGAACCAAAUCUUUGUCUGUAUGAUUGACUGGCAUUAAUGUUAAAAGGAUUUCUGUAUGGUGCUCCAGUGGAAUCAACAGAGCAGUGGGGGUGCCCUACCUGCAGUACAUGCCAUGGGGUCCCACUGUGACAUGGUGGUGUUACAGUUUGCUUAGAAGCAAUAUGUUUAUUCUUUAUUUUCAUGGCAUUGAGCUGAUCCCAUAUGCCCAUAUGCUCUUUCUUGUGCAGAGCCAAUCUUGAGUUUCAACACCAUACUCUUAAUUCUGGAAUUCAGAGGGAGGCUGAACAAAGUCAUGAAGCUGACUCCAUGAGGAGUCUCUCAAAGGUCAGCAGUUUUCUGCCUUACCAUUAGCAAUGGUAUUGCCAGAGCCAGGUGGAUCCCUGCAGGUGUAUCCAAAUGUACUUGCUUCCCUGGUCUCCUGAGUUUGGGGUCUGGGUUUUACACAGCAGGAGCACAUGAAGACAACUUGGGUGUAGGACAGUACUGACUCAAUGGUGAGGGGAGCAGCACCCAGCGCUGAGCUAGAAAAGGGUAACCCUAUGGUCAGAGGUCCUGGAGCAAAGAGAGUGGGAGUCAUAGAGCUCAGUGACAGUCAACAGCUGUAUAAGCUGUUUGCCACCCCUGAGCAAGCUCAGUAGGGUCACCCAGAGCACCCUUGGCCAGUCAAAGCCAGUUUCAGUUUCCUGUGCUCUGUAUGGAGCUGCUGACCACAUGAGUUCAGGGCCUGGCGCUGCUGUGGCAGCUGGGGGUCUGGUUUGCUUCAAGACCCUGAGCUAAACCAUGCCUGGCUGAUGUAGAUGGUCUUACAAGCUGGGUUCCUCCUGAUGGAGGAGGUAUUUAGAACAGGCACAGUAGAGCACAGCUCCUACUUUCUUUAUUUUCCUGCCAUCAGGGUUGGUCUGCUGCAUUAUACUCUUCUACCCCUCCCAUGUAAAGAAAUUAAAGUCUGUUCUAAACAUGUGUUGCUGAAUCACUGCUCUCUUCACCUUAUAAACACUUUUGCAAUAGCAAUUAGUACUACAGAAUGGGGUUGUGUUAUUUAAUCCCAUUUUUUUUCAUCUUCAGUGAGAAAUUUUGAUAAUAUGAGGAUGUUGCUCUAGACAAAGAUGCAUCAAUAUCUUCUAGGAUCUAAAGCUUGAGCUUCCAUGUUUUCAGCAGAUGCCAUGUGUAACAUCAGAGUAUUGACAUAAAGCCUCACGUUAUUAAAAAUGGACAUGAAAAGAGAUGUGGCUUUUUCUGUUUCUUUCACAAACACUAUGAGAGUAAUUUAUUAUUCUCUCUGUACCUGGAGGACUCCUUGCCUCCAGUUACUGUUGAGUAUGCAGGCAUAAUAAGGCUGCAUGUCAAUUUUUUUUCAUUUAUAUGGAUGACUUUCAAAGUAAAACUCGCCACAGCUUCAGGCCAAAAGCUUUCUCCUUGUGUCACAGCUCCUAUCAUUUUUUUCCCCUCAGGCAUACUGAUCCAUAGCUAGUCAGGGAAGCAUGCACACAAAUGAUAGGUCAUUAGGAAAUCCUCUGAAUGGCAAACCUCUGAAGUCAGCCCAAGUGCUAUUUGCCAUACAUCAUGAUAAAAUUUGUGAGUUUGAGGAGGCACUAAUUAUAUGCUUGGUCUGCCAUUGAUGAGUUGUUGGAGCUGUUGUUUCCAGAACAGCAACCUCUUUCACUGCAUAUUUCAGCAAGGUUGCCAGAGCAUGGUGAGCCAAGCAGGGAUUGAGAGAUUUUGGCACUUUAUCCCUUUCAAUGAAAAAAUAUUGCAUUGCAACACAAAUUGAUACCUCACUCUGCCAUAGUGAAACAUCAUAUACUGAUACAAUGAUGUUGAUCUAUGGGCUUUUCUUAAAAUUUUAUUUUGGGAACUCAUUUCCCUUAGAACAAGUGGCAACUGUAAGACUUUCAUUUACCAUCAGCCUUUGGUUUUUGAUGAUUUGUUUCAGUAAUACAAUAGUUAAAAAAAAAAAACUUUCAUUUUAUAUAUAUAUUUUAUAUAUAUUCACACACACACACCUUUCAUUAUUUUAACCCACAUACAUAAAAUGUGAUCUUGGGAGGAAAAAGCAAAUGUUUAAUACAGUGAGCAAAAUAAUAAAAGAUUGUAAAUUCUAAUGAAUAUUCAUGGAGUCAAAUAAGAUAAUAAACAUGUCAAGAAAUGAUGUGGCUUCCUGGUAUGACUUCCAGUGUAGAUUAACAUGUUUCAAAGAGUAGUGUCAAAAAUUGUUUUUUAAUUUUUAAUUUUCACACUUUCUCAAAGCACCAAUUUUUUUAAUGCAUGUUUCUGAAUUCAUUUAGGAUGAUACUACUAAUGUAUUAGUAGAUAGCUCAGAAGCAUUGCAAUGAUAGGAUUUUUCACAUAUUCUUUGAUUGUUUUUUUUUUUAAGCUGCCAAAGAGUCAUGGUUUCUUUCUUUUACAAAAGAUGCUAAAUUGCUGCCACAGAAUGGAAGUGAAACACUUUAUCUUCAAUAUUUGAAGUUAUAAAAAAAUAGAAAAAUGGUUUUUGGUAUAACAUUUUCUUACAGAGCUUUUUAUUUCACAGAUAAUUCUUGGAACUGCUGGAGGCUUACAUUUUUAUGAUUAACAGAAUAAAACAAUUACUCUGUAACUUAGGAUAUUUUAAUAUCAAUUACAGAUGUUUAAUCUUUCCUUGGAUACUCUGUUGCCCAUAGGAUAAAAAAUAAUCAUGUCUUCAUAGAAACAGUUCCAGUGAGGACCACAUCCAGAUUAAAAAAAUCCUUUAUUUUGGUGGUCACAGAUAAAUCCAGCAUAAAUAUGACAAAUUUUAGGUCCUGUUACAGAAAACACAGAUCUAAAUAAUGCACUCCGGAGCUUGGAGAAUGAUUCAGCUCAGUUUCAGGUGAACCUCUAGGCUACAACUGUACUAAGAAUCAACAGCAGGAAAUACUCUUGGCCACUGCAACUCACCUUUAUUCCCUGACAUAGUUUUGGCCAGGGCUUGCUCACUAGGAAAAAUAUUCUGUUCCUAGUUCAGCAGUUAAGAACCAGUUAAGAACCUCUGGCUCAGUGUAAAACUUUGAAGAGUUACUUACAUUCACAGCAGAGGAUGAGCCAGAGGAUUUUGUUCCAAGAAUCAGUGCUCUGGCUUCGCAGGAUAGAGUGCUCUGCAGUUCCACGCUUUAUACAGGGGGCACUGACAAUGAGAAGUGUUCUUGGGUCACACUUAUUUUCAGCUGAGAUUGGUCCUGGCACAUGAACCUCUGGAGCAGGCUGCUCUAAUUGUGUAGGGUUGUCAGAAUUGUGUAAGUGGUCCAUACACAUCCCAAGUUUAUUGGUGCCUUCUGAAAUUGCACUGCUACUGCAGGGAUUUAUGAGAAAAGUAUUGAAUGGAGCAAAACUGAACUGGUUUAGAACAUUAACCAGAUUUUAAAAAUAAUUACACAAAACCUAGUAAAAAUUGAUAUGUUUCAAUCAGCAUCAUUGAUCAAAUAAGAUUGAUUUGUUACAUAAAACUUGUUUAGGCUCAGGGUUCUGAUGUUAACAAAAAUAUUUCCUGUAAAACAAGCUUGCUACUGAGAAAAAUGAAUGAAGAGCAGAAUUAAAGUAAUUUCAGAAACUGAAACUGUGAAUGUCAUUUUGACUCAGAUCUGUAGUGUCAAAUGGCUUACUGAAGCUUUUAGAAAAGUCACCUUCUUUUUUUAUUCUGUAUUUGUACGCUGUCUAAAGCAACAGGACUCUUUCUACCCCUGAGACUUAUAAUAGCAGUUUAUCUCCAUUACUAAAAUAAAAUAUAUGAAAAAAGAAAAGAGAGAAAAUUCCAGUCUUACUUCAAUGUUGGUAAAAUAUAUAGGAAUAGUUUCAAAAUCUUUGUUUUUAUCUUCAGAUGUGGAAAUACUGUUAAUUUGUGUUAAUUCCAUUCAUGCAGGGAUCAUCUAUAUAUAUAAGGUACCUAAGAAAAAUGAUGUGGCUUUGUUACAGAAGAGCAUAUUCCUUUAAUUUUCUGCACCACUUCCUAAAGCCCCACAGGAGAAUGCUGUUUUGGCAAGAGCAUGCUCUAGCAUGGUCCGAGCUGCCAAAGAGAGGAGGUGGCAGCUGUCCUGAGACACAGUGAGGCAACAGUGGCUGAGCCAAAAGGUACCAGGGGUGUCUGACCAGCCGGGGGGAAAAACCCCGGAAUCUGAGAUUCCUGUGCCACACACACUCAUCCUAGUAUGCAAUGGCGUGCCUCUGUGGCCAAAGGUUGCAGGCCUGGUCACAGAGCUAAAAUGACCCCUUUGUUCUGAAGAAUCUUUCCUUUGCUAUUCUUUAACAUAUUUUCUAGCUCAAACAGUGUCUGAAAUAAAUAGUUUA